GGGGUUGCAAUUAAUGCUUUUUACCUAAUACCCAGACGCUUAGACAUCGCGUAGUCAAAAGGCGACGUAUAUGGCCUGAAUGGAAGGCGGGAAGACAAAAAAUCUUCAACUCGAGGGACAUAGACGUCGGGUCGCAGGGGCACCAACGUCUAUGUGCCUGCAAGUAAUUAUGUUCAUCAUUAUAGACGUUGGCGCCCCAUG
rnacentral:lncRNA from 1 species